rnacentral:rRNA from 1 species
AUUGAACGCUGGCGGAAUGCUUUACACAUGCAAGUCGAACGAUGAACCUUAGCUUGCUAAGGGGAUUAGUGGCGAACGGGUGAGUAAUAUAUCGGAACGGACCUUGUAAUGGGGGAUAACUAGUCGAAAGAUUAGCUAAUACCGCAUACGCCCUGAGGGGGAAAGUAGGGGAUCUUCGGACCUUACGUUAUAAGACGGGCCGAUAUCUGAUUAGCUAGUUGGUGGGGUAAUGGCCUACCAAGGCGACGAUCAGUAGCUGGGCUGAGAGGACGACCAGCCACACUGGAACUGAGACACGGUCCAGACUCCUACGGGAGGCAGCAGUGGGGAAUUUUGGACAAUGGGCGCAAGCCUGAUCCAGCAAUUCCGUGUGAGUGAAGAAGGCCUUCGGGUUGUAAAGCUCUUUCGCAAGGGAAGAAAACCUACAUUCUAAUAAAGUGUGAGGCUGACGGUACCUUGAUAAGAAGCACCGGCUAACUACGUGCCAGCCGCCGCGGUAA